rnacentral:rRNA from 1 species
GACGAACGCUGGCGGCGUGCUUAACACAUGCAAGUCGAGCGGUAAGGCCCUUUCGGGGGUACACGAGCGGCGAACGGGUGAGUAACACGUGGGUGACCUGCCCUUAGCUCUGGGAUAAGCCUGGGAAACUGGGUCUAAUACCGGAUAUGACUCCAUGACGCAUGUUGUGGGGUGGAAAGCCUUGUGCGGCUAGGGAUGGGCCCGCGGCCUAUCAGCUUGUUGGUGGGGUGAUGGCCUACCAAGGCGACGACGGGUAGCCGGCCUGAGAGGGCGACCGGCCACACUGGGACUGAGAUACGGCCCAGACUCCUACGGGAGGCAGCAGUGGGGAAUCUUGCGCAAUGGGCGAAAGCCUGACGCAGCGACGCCGCGUGAGGGAUGACGGCCUCGGUU